rnacentral:snRNA from 1 species
GCUGGCUACUGCAGAUGUAUACUAAAAUGGAAACAAUGCAGAGCAGAUUUAGCACAGCCCCUGUACAAGGAUUCCAUGCAGAUUUCUGCCACAUUCUGGAUGUUU